rnacentral:rRNA from 1 species
UACAGAGGUCUCAAGCGUUGUUCGGAUUCAUUGGGCGUAAAGGUGUGUAGGUGGCGCGCUAAGUCGGGUGUGAAAUUUCGGAGCUUAACUCCGAAACUGCAUUCGAUACUGGCGUGCUUGAGGACUGGAGAGGAGACUGGAAUUCAUGGUGUAGCAGUGAAAUGCGUAGAGAUCAAUGAGGAAGACCAGUGGCGAAGGCGGGUCUCUGGACAGUUCCUGACACUGAGACACGAAGGCCAGGGGAGCAAACGGG